UACGUAGGGUGCGAGCGUUGUCCGGAAUUACUGGGCGUAAAGAGCUCGUAGGUGGUUUGUCGCGUUGUUCGUGAAAACUCACAGCUCAACUGUGGGCGUGCGGGCGAUACGGGCAGACUGGAGUACUGCAGGGGAGACUGGAAUUCCUGGUGUAGCGGUGGAAUGCGCAGAUAUCAGGAGGAACACCGGUGGCGAAGGCGGCUCUCUGGGCCUUACCUGACGCUGAGGAGCGAAAGCUGGGGGAGCAAACGGG
rnacentral:rRNA from 1 species